rnacentral:rRNA from 1 species
UACGUAGGUGGCAAGCGUUGUCCGGAUUUACUGGGCGUAAAGAGCGCGCAGGCGGUCGGAUCAGUCGAAUGUGAAAGCCCCCGGCUCAACUGGGGAGGGUCACUCGAUACUGAUCGACUUGAAGGCAGGAGAGGGAAGCGGAAUUCCCGGUGUAGUGGUGAAAUGCGUAGAUAUCGGGAGGAACACCAGUGGCGAAGGCGGCUUCCUGGCCUGUUCUUGACGCUGAGGCGCGAAAGCUAGGGGAGCAAACGGG